AUGUGGACUGAACCAACAAUCCAGCAGAGGUCAGGAGCAUUAUCUUUGGUGGACAUGCCCCCAAUGGUAGAAUGGAGAAAGACCCAUCACUCAUCAAUCGUCAGAGACUACACUGAGGCACAAAGAAUCCCAGAAAAAGAGAAAAAGUAUAAGUGGCUAAAACAACAUGAGAUUUCAGAACAAAACAGAAGAGCCAGAAGAAGCAAGAAGAAGAACCACAGUGGAUCUGUGGCAAUGAGAGUGAAUGGGAGAUUUUCUGGGACCAUAAAAGGAAAAACUGAUGAUUUAGAGACAGAACACCCUGAAAGAGAGUACUGUUAUUCUUAAUUUCAAGAGUCAGACGACGAUGAAGAGAAGAGAUUCGCCCUAUCACAAGAAUAAUUCACAAGAUCUUAGACACAGAUGGAACAAACUUGGAGCUUUCCUCCAAAGGAACAGAUGUCACUAAGAUUUGUAUCGUCUGGCCAGCCUGUGUGCGUGCCAUGUGCCCAUUGUGACAUGGACUAGUUGCUAAACUCCCACCUCUGACGGGAGCUUCAGAUUCACAUUCAGCUGUGAGGGUGAGGCAGCUUCAGGCUGAAAGAAAGUGAAACUAUGAAUGAAAUGUUCAGCAUCCUCUUUGUUCAGAUGUGAUUUUUGGCUACAGACACUAAGUGAGACGUCACCUAAACCUUAAGUGCUGAUAAGAGAAAGAAAAACCAAAAUCUGGAUUCACAGAUGUUUUUUUUUUUUGUUUUUUUGUUUUCACAGGUUAAACAAACAACUUUUUAAAUGUAAGAAAAACCCUCAGUGUGGGACUGAAACCUUUGUUAAAUUAUCCAAAUAUUUCAUAUUAAACUUAUUAUUAUUUUAUUAUUAUAGUUUUCUUCAAGUAUAUGACGGCAGCAAUGAGUUUAGAUUAUUGAUGUUUGCAUGUAAACUUAAAUGAAGGAGAGUCAUUUUAUUUUAAGCUGUAAAAAUGUUGCUGUAGCUUCAUUUGGAACGAUAUUUGUUCAGUAACAUUAAUAACUGUUAGUUUGAUUGGUUGAAGUCAUUAUUAAGAAGAAGCAUGUGUCUGUGAAUAUCUGAAAAACAUUGGUCUACAAAGAAUUGUGCAAUAUUCAUAUUCCACUGUUGAAAACAAAACAUUAUGUCUGUUUAUGUGACCGUGUAUUCACAGCCAGUGUCAGACUUAACAGAUAUCAGUAUCACAGCUCACAGGCGACUUCUUGACUACAACAGCAGCUGGCUUCGUGGUCUCUGACUUUUUUCAGCAGCAACACCAGCAGAGUUAAGUCCUCUGACAGCAAAUAAGGAACAAAAGAGAUAAAAAAAAUGACAGUGAAACUAUCUUAUAUAACAUAAAUCAAUAAAAGGAGGAAUCUUUUUGUUCUAAAGAAUUUGUAUUUCAUAUAGAAAUAUUUGUAUAUGUAGUUUUUCACAAUGGACUGUGUGUAUAAAACUAUAGAGGCUCUUGCUGAUUGCAGAUUGAUGGAGCUUCACUGUUUUCCAAGAAACUUUUCUAGAGAACUGUUGUUUCCAGAACACCUUGACAAAACCUCACUGAAGUUCAAAUCCUGCCUCUCAGGUCCACUCAGGUCUGACGUAAAUGUCUUC
ensembl:lncRNA